GUUGCCACUGUAUAUUGUGUUUUCACAGUAAUUCAUUGUGAAAUGGCAUCAUGGGAUUGAGCGGGUGUAUUUAUGUUUGAAAUGGACAUGAACACCGAAGAGUCAUCAUUCAAAAUUGUUGGCAGGAACGAGGCAGCAAAAAGCGCGGGUCUUGGCUGGACUGCAAAGUGGUGAGACGAAUCUUAAAUGAACUUGAAGGCACGAGACAGCAGAGAUCGCAACAGCAAACUUCAUAGGACUGGUGGUGUGGGACAAAUGAGAAAAGGUGAAAAACCCAUUGUACACUGCCUUUUUUUUAUGGAUGGAUGCUAUAUUUCACUAU